rnacentral:rRNA from 1 species
UGCUAGGAGGCGACGAGUGGCGAACGGGUGAGUAACGCGUAGGAAUCCACCUAGUAGUGGGGGAUAGCCAAGGGAAACUUUGGGUAAUACCGCAUACGAUCUACGGAUGAAAGGGGGCCUCUCUUUGAAGCUCUCGCUAUUAGAUGAGCCUGCGUCGGAUUAGCUUGUUGGUAGGGUAAAGGCCUACCAAGGCGACGAUCCGUAGCUGGUCUGAGAGGAUGAUCAGCCACACUGGAACUGAGACACGGUCCAGACUCCUACGGGAGGCAGCAGUGGGGAAUAUUGGACAAUGGGGGCAGCCCUGAUCCAGCCAUGCCGCGUGUGUGAAGAAGGCCUUAGGGUUGUAAAGCACUCUUAGUAGGGAGGAAGGCCCGGUAGUUAAUACCUGCCGGGAUUGACGUUACCUACAGAAAAAGCACCGGCUAAUUUCGUGCCAGCAGCCGCGGUAAUACGAAAGGUGCAAGCGUUAAUCGGAAUUACUGGGCGUAAAGCGCGCGUAGGCGGCUUGGUAAGUUGGAUGUGAAAGCCCCGGGCUCAACCUGGGAACUGCAUCCAAAACUGCCAGGCUAGAGUAUGGUAGAGGAUGGCGGAAUUUCCUGUGUAGCGGUGAAAUGCGUAGAUAUAGGAAGGAACAUCAGUGGCGAAGGCGGCCAUCUGGACCAAUACUGACGCUGAGGUGCGAAAGCGUGGGGAGCAAACA